rnacentral:rRNA from 1 species
CCUACGGGUGGCAGCAGUGAGGAAUAUUGGUCAAUGGACGAGAGUCUGAACCAGCCAAGUAGCGUGAAGGAUGACUGCCCUAUGGGUUGUAAACUUCUUUUAUAUGGGAAUAAAAUGUUCCACGUGUGUGAUUUUGUAUGUACCAUAUGAAUAAGGAUCGGCUAACUCCGUGCCAGCAGCCGCGGUAAUACGGAGGAUCCGAGGGUUAUCCGGAUUUAUUGGGUUUAAAGGGAGCGUAGGUGGAUUGUUAAGUCAGUUGUGAAAGUUUGCGGCUCAACCGUAAAAUUGCAGUUGAAACUGGCAGUCUUGAGUACAGUAGAGGUGGGCGGAAUUCGUGGUGGAGCGGUGAAAUGCUUAGAUAUCACGAAGAACUCCGAUUGCGAAGGCAGUUCACUGGACUGCAACUGACACUGAGGCUCGAAAGUGUGGGUAUCAAACAGGAUUAGAUACCCGGGUAGUC